rnacentral:rRNA from 1 species
CUGAAGAGUUUGAUCCUGGCUCAGAUUGAACGCUGGCGGAAUGCUUUACACAUGCAAGUCGAACGGCAGCACGGGGGCAACCCUGGUGGCGAGUGGCGAACGGGUGAGUAAUACAUCGGAACGUGCCCGGUCGUGGGGGAUAACGUAGCGAAAGUUACGCUAAUACCGCAUACGAUCUGAGGAUGAAAGCGGGGGACCUUCGGGCCUCGCGCGAUCGGAGCGGCCGAUGUCAGAUUAGGUAGUUGGUGGGGUAAAGGCCUACCAAGCCGACGAUCUGUAGCUGGUCUGAGAGGACGACCAGCCACACUGGGACUGAGACACGGCCCAGAC